rnacentral:rRNA from 1 species
GACGAACGCUGGCGGCGCGCCUAACACAUGCAAGUCGAACGAGGUUGAGAGGAGCUUGCUUUUCUUGACUUAGUGGCGAACGGGUGAGUAACGCGUGAGGAACCUGCCUCAAAGAGGGGGACAACAGUUGGAAACGACUGCUAAUACCGCAUAAGCCCACAGCUCCGCAUGGAGCAGAGGGAAAAGGAGCAAUCCGCUUUGAGAUGGCCUCGCGUCCGAUUAGCUAGUUGGUGAGGUAACGGCCCACCAAGGCGACGAUCAGUAGCCGACCUGAGAGGGUGACCGGCCACAUUGGGACUGAGACACGGCCCAG